GACGAACGCUGGCGGCGUGCUUAACACAUGCAAGUCGAACGGAAAGGCCCUGCUUUUGUGGGGUGCUCGAGUGGCGAACGGGUGAGUAACACGUGAGUAACCUGCCCUUGACUUUGGGAUAACUUCAGGAAACUGGGGCUAAUACCGGAUAGGAGCUCCUGCUGCAUGGUGGGGGUUGGAAAGUUUCGGCGGUUGGGGAUGGACUCGCGGCUUAUCAGCUUGUUGGUGGGGUAGGGGCUUACCAAGGCUUUGACGGGUAGCCGGCCUGAGAGGGUGACCGGCCACAUUGGGACUGAGAUACGGCCCAGACUCCUACGGGAGGCAGCAGUGGGGAAUAUUGCACAAUGGGCGGAAGCCUGAUGCAGCAACGCCGCGUGCGGGAUGACGGCUUUCGGGUUGUAAACCGCUUUCGCCUGUGACGAAGCGUGAGUGACGGUAAUGGGUAAAGAAGCACCGGCUAACUACGUG
rnacentral:rRNA from 1 species